GAGGUUGUGGCUCAGAGGUAGAGCACUUGCUUAGCAUGUGUGAGGCACUGGGUUUGAUCCUCAGCACCACA
rnacentral:tRNA from 1 species